rnacentral:misc_RNA from 1 species
AUGGUCUUAUGUGUACAAUAUUGUGCGGGCCUCUGCAGCUGGGAAUACCGAAGAAUCCACAAAGCACUACAUAGGCAAAUCUUCACGAGAAAGCUCUGCAGCAGAACUGGGGAGUUGCAUAGAACCGCUGCUUCCUUCCAAGGAGCCCCUGGCAUCUGAACACCGUGUAGAUCAGUGCGCACUGCCUGGCACUACACAAGUCGAGAUGGAAGAUUCGGGCAAUAAGCAACUACUAAGAAAGCUGCUUGGAAAU